rnacentral:rRNA from 1 species
GACGAACGCUGGCGGCGUGCUUAACACAUGCAAGUCGAACGGUGAAGCGCCUUCCUUUUUGGUGGGUGUGGAUGAGUGGCGAACGGGUGAGUAACACGUGAGUAACCUGCCCCCUUCUUCUGGAUAACCGCAUGAAAGUGUGGCUAAUACGGGAUAUUCUGGGUCUGUCGCAUGAUGGGUCUGGGAAAGAUAUUGUUUCGGUGGGGGAUGGGCUCGCGGCCUAUCAGCUUGUUGGUGGGGUGAUGGCCUACCAAGGCGGUGACGGGUAGCCGGCCUGAGAGGGUGGACGGUCACACUGGGACUGAGACACGGCCCAGCCUCCUACGGGAGGCAGCAGUGGGGAUUAUUGCACAAUGGGCGCAAGCCUGAUGCAGCGACGCCGCGUGAGGGAUGGAGGCCUUCGGGUUGUGAACCUCUUUCGCCAGUGAAGCAGGCCUGCCUCGUUUGUGGGUGGGUUGACGGUAGCUGGAUAAGAAGCGCCGGCUAACUACGUG